rnacentral:lncRNA from 1 species
GGCAUUUGAAAGCUUUAAAUGGCUUAGGCAGCUUUGCAGUUGUGUGGCAAAUGGGUGCAUUUGCAUUUAUGGAUUCAAAUAUGCAACCUGGUCUGAACAUAGUCUAAAGUAUCCUACAUAAUCCAUUUAGGUAUUUCUGUCACACUGCAGUUUCUUAAAGCAACAAGUUUGGGUACAGUCUUCAUUUUUUCAGUUAUAUUUUGAAGUAAUAUUAUUUUGAUGCAUUCUCAAAGCUUUCCUAGAUAGACUUUGAUAAGUUUGAAUUUUGAACUUGGAUAAUUGAACAUCCUGUGUGUAGAAGCUCUGUAGGCUAUGUAGUUGAAGGGCUGAGGAGGAGAAAGAAAUCCUUCAUUGCAAGGUCAUGGUGGUUCAGCUGCUUGCAAUUUACUGGCAGCUGAAGGCUGUUGAGUGGUAAAUGUGGCAGAAAGGGCAUAUGUCCACACUGCCAGCACCAUCAGCAUGGCACACGGGUAUUUCUAUGGUAAUAGGAGUUGAUGAAGAGAUGUGAAAGAGGAAAAGAUUAAAACACAUAUACAAAUACUUAUACAAAAUUAGUAUACUUAUACAAAAUAAGUAUUCUUUCUCUUAUAGCAAAUUCUUUUACGUUAGUAGAUAUGUCCUGUCUGUCAUUUAUUCUGUUUCAGUCCUGGUCUUUAUGCGUCUGGCAUCCUUCGAAACCCUGCAAGGAUGUUCUAUUGCAGAGAAACAAAGACUGCAAUCUUGAGCAUCUACUUUGAAGGCACCCCAGAAGCAUACCAACUUAAUGUAGCCAGGAUCUGCAUUACUAUCCCUAAGAAGACUUAAAUCUUCGGAAUUUAGAAGAAAAACUCUAUUCUGUGCAGCAUGAUAAACUUGUAGGGAAACAGAAGACAAAGUCCUGCCUGAUCUAAGGUUGUGGAAAGCUUUCAACUCACAAGAGAAGGUAAGUUCAAUCCAAAUAGAAAGUGGAGCAAUUUUUUUGAUGGUAUUAAUGAAAUUCAGUAAUUUCCAAGUUGUGUGAAGUAAAAUACUACUAUAAUCAAAAAUUGCUUUCUAAAUU